CCAGACUCCUACGGGAGGCAGCAGUGGGGGAUAUUGCACAAUGGAGGGAACUCUGAUGCAGCGACGCCGCGUGAGGGAAGAAGGUUUUCGGAUUGUAAACCUCUGUCUUCGGUGACGAAACGAGACGGUAGCCGAGGAGGAAGCCACGGCUAACUACGUGCCAGCAGCCGCGGUAAUACGUAGGUGGCAAGCGUUGUCCGGAAUUACUGGGUGUAAAGGGAGCGUAGGCGGGAAGCCAAGUCAGCUGUGAAAACUACGGGCUUAACCUGUAGACUGCAGUUGAAACUGGCUUUCUUAAGUGAAGUAGAGGUUGGCGGAAUUCCGAGUGUAGCGGUGAAAUGCGUAGAUAUUCGGAGGAACACCGGUGGCGAAGGCGGCCAACUGGGCUUUAACUGACGCUGAGGCUCGAAAGUGUGGGGAGCAAACAGGAUUAGAUACCCGCGUA
rnacentral:rRNA from 1 species